AGUUGAGCCUCCAGGACCACGCUCACACCAUCAGUCUCAGAGCAGGAAAAGUUUUGCAUUUCCUUUCUCCAAUCACAAAACUUUUAAAUCAGCAAAAACUCAUGGAUUGAAUUAAAAUUUGGAAACUCAGUGAGCAACUCAGAAUCUCUGUCAGGGUGAAAUGCCUCAGAAACAGCCUGCAUGCCUGCUGCUGCUCUGUGAACAAAAUCUUGGAAGGAAAAGGAGAGAGAGUAAAGCAGCCUUUUACAACAUCAACAAAUGGGCUCAAUUCCUAGUUCACAAAUUUUCAAUAAAAUUAAAGAUGGGCCAACCAUAGCAGAGAAUGUCUCUUUCCGUGAAAAUGGAAGAUCUAAAAAUAAUGUCAAACAGAAAAUACUUUCC
rnacentral:lncRNA from 1 species